rnacentral:lncRNA from 1 species
UAGAUCUUAGAGCAAGAUUAACGAUAACUCUUAUAGCUGCCUCUUAAAAAAAAAAUAAGUGGAUCCCACCAUAUUAUUAAGAACUGCCUCUUCUGUAAAAGGCGAGUUUAGUUUGGUUUUUACAUUGUGUGCAGACUCCACCGAUAUGUGGCGGCCCGCGAUUGAUUUGAUUAUUACUAUUGUUUUAAAAAAAACCAAAAAAAGAAAAAAAAAAACUAAAAACCUGUACCUUACAACUUUACCGUUUAUUAUGCUCUUAGGUCUUCAUGGAUCAUGGGCAGCACAAUGUAAAUCAGUAAAUGUAAUUUAUCUUCCCAAGCGGCAUUACACCCAAAGAUACAUGAUUUUUCUCCUGAGGAAAGAUUCUGUUGACG